AUUGAACGCUGGCGGUAGGCCUAACACAUGCAAGUCGAACGAGUGGCGGACGGGUGAGUAAUGUCUGGGAAACUGCACGAUGGAGGGGGAUAACUACUGGAAACGGUAGCUAAUACCGCAUACCAUCGGAUGUGCCCAGAUGGGAUUAGCUAGUAGGUGGGGUAACGGCGCACCUAGGCGACGAUCCCUAGCUGGUCUGAGAGGAUGACCAGCCACACUGGAACUUCGACACGGUCCAGACUCCGACGUGAGGCAGCUGUGGGGAAUAUUGCACAAUGGGCGCAAGCCUGAUGCAGCCAUGCCGCGUGUAUGGAGAAGGCCGUCGGGUUGUAAAGUACUUACGGCGAGGAGGCGUUACUCGCAGGAGAAGCACCGGGUAACUCCUUGCCAGCAGCCGCGGUAAUUC
rnacentral:rRNA from 1 species